GAUGAACGCUGGCGGCGUGCCUAACACAUGCAAGUCGAGCGAACAGACGCGGAGCUUGCUCCUCUGACGUUAGCGGAGCACGGGUGAGUAACACGUGGAUAACCCACUUAUAAGACUGGGAUAACUUCGGGAAACCGGAGCUAAUACCGGAUAAUAUAUUGAACCGCAUGGUUCAAUAGUGAAAGACGGCUUUACUGUCACUUAUAGAUGGAUCCGCGCCGCAUUAGCUAGUUGGUAGGGUAACGGCUUACCAAGGCAACGAUGCGUAGCCGACCUGAGAGGGUGGUCGGCCGCACUGGAACUGAGACGCGGUCCAGGCUCCUACGAGAGGCAGCAGUAGGGAAUCUUCCGCAAUGGGCGAGAGCCUGACGGAGCGGCGCCGCGUGAGUGAUGGAGGUCUUCGGAUCGUAAAACUCUGUUAUUGGGGAAGAACAAAUGUGUAAGUAACUAUGCACGUCUUGACGGUACCUGGUCAGGAAGCCACGGCUAACUACGUG
rnacentral:rRNA from 1 species